rnacentral:rRNA from 1 species
GCAUAUCAAUAAGCGGAGGAAAAGAAACCAACAGGGAUUGCCCUAGUAACGGCGAGUGAAGCGGCAACAGCUCAAAUUUGAAAUCUGGCGUCUUUGGCGUCCGAGUUGUAAUUUGCAGAGGGCGCUUUGGCAUUGGCAGCGGUCCAAGUUCCUUGGAACAGGACGUCACAGAGGGUGAGAAUCCCGUACGUGGUCGCUAGCCUUUACCGUGUAAAGCCCCUUCGACGAGUCGAGUUGUUUGGGAAUGCAGCUCUAAAUGGGAGGUAAAUUUCUUCUAAAGCUAAAUACUGGCCAGAGACCGAUAGCGCACAAGUAGAGUGAUCGAAAGAUGAAAAGCACUUUGGAAAGAGAGUUAAAAAGCACGUGAAAUUGUUGAAAGGGAAGCGCUUGCAGCCAGACUUGCCUGUAGUUGCUCAUCCGGGUUUUUACCCGGUGCACUCUUCUAUAGGCAGGCCAGCAUCAGUUUGGGCGGUUGGAUAAAGGUCUCUGUCACGUACCUCCUCUCGGGGAGAACUUAUAGGGGAGACGUAAUGCAACCAGCCUGGACUGAGGUCCGCGCAUCU